AUUUGAGAAGAAUGUUUGAAUUACAAAGCUGGGCACUGAUGCUGGUUGUGCUGUCAUUGCCCUGCAAUUUAACAGAGAAAUCUGCUUGCAGUGUGGUAUUCAGCACCAUAUUACAAGAGGGACUCCAUAAAGAGACAACCUUGAAGAAUGAAUACAGGAGAAUCAUAAAGAUAUCCAUGAAUGAAAACCGGGAAGACCAAUCAAAAAGCCAAGAAAGUAUGACUUAGUAGCCCUUUCAUUCUUCAGAAGUGAAUCGGUGCCUGAAACAAGAAGCAACCAUUGAAUCUGAACUCCUACAAGAGGCUGCUGUGUACUGGAGCACUUGGCGUUCCACAGAUUUCAAAAGCCAUGGUGGGUGACAGUGAUUACCUGAUUUGAUGGCCUCCACAAAACAAGUCAUGGGACUUGUCUUAAUUUCUUCCCUGGAGUUCAGUAAGAGUUGAAACACUCUCUGACUUGGAUCAUUUUCUUUUUGUAAACAAACAAAUGAACAAAAGCCACAUAUUAAAGUAUUCUAUAGAAAACACGAUUUUUUAAUGAAGAAUUUAUUUUUUCAAUUUUAACAGAGAAUAUUCAAUUCCAUGUUCAACCCAUAGUGCAUAUCUAAAUGUGAGAAAGUGUAAUAAUUUUGUAUCAAUUUAUAAGGUAACAGGUAGCUGCACUGGGCUUCUGGACCCUGAGACAUCCUUUAAGCUUCAGGAGAAGGAUAUUGCUAGAAUUCCAGGAGGUUUGAUCAAUAUUUGGGACAGUUGACAACGUUGUCAAUAGGGAGGAGAAUAAACUAAAAUAAAGGUGUGAGAUGAUGAAAACA
rnacentral:lncRNA from 1 species